rnacentral:rRNA from 1 species
UACGUAGGGUGCAAGCGUUGUCCGGAAUUAUUGGGCGUAAAGAGCUCGUAGGCGGUCUGUCGCGUCUGCUGUGAAAACUCGGGGCUUAACCCCGGGCCUGCAGUGGGUACGGGCAGACUGGAGUACUGCAGGGGAGACUGGAAUUCCUGGUGUAGCGGUGGAAUGCGCAGAUAUCAGGAGGAACACCGGUGGCGAAGGCGGGUCUCUGGACAGUUCCUGACGCUGAGGCACGAAGGCCAGGGGAGCAAACGGG